AAAACUGAAAUAUUAAAAUGUUGAGGUACUUUAGCUCUUUUUCAAAGCAGCUGUUUAUUAAAAGAUCUCCUUUACGAGCGACACAUUGUUACGAAUCUUCAGCUGCUUCUACAGAAGACGAAAUUUCUGAAAAAAUUUUGGAUGUAAUGAAAAAUUUUGAAAAGCUUAGUAAUAAGAAAUUUACCUUAAAUUCUCAUUUUUCCGAUGACCUUGGCCUUGAUAGCCUGGACACCGUUGAACUACUUGUUAACAUAGAGAAUAGAUUCAAUCUAAUUAUACCAGACGACAUUUCAAAUAAUAUUAAUACAGGAGAAGACGCUUUAAAUUACAUAAAAGCAAAUAUCAAUAAAAAAUAAA